CCGCUUCCCCAGCCCUGCUGCCUAGAGAAACUCUGACUACCCAUCAACAGCUUUCUAUUCUGUAGCUUAUAUACUGUUCAUACCAGACUUCAAGUAUAGAAUCUUAGGGAACACAAGAAUGGAAAACGGUGUAGCUUUUAAAAAAUGUAUUUCCUCAUUUAAAAACUAGAAAUCCUAUAUUUUUUUGUGAAUUAUUUCAGAGUUUCAGGUUAAACACUCACUUUGUAACUAAUAUUUUAAUGUAUUAAAAAUUCAUUACAGAUGUAUUAAAACGUAUUGAAAGUGAGGUGGAGGAUGGGAUUGAGGAGGAAGAGCAGGAGCGGACGGAGUGGGGGAGAGAGUGGUCCGUGGUUGGAGGUGUGCAGGCAGUGGGGAUGCCUCUUGGAGGCAGGCUCUGUGACAGCCGGGCUGGGAUGAAGAGGGUCCAAAAAAGCCGCAGGCGUCUGGGUUAAAGGAGAGCAGUAGUAGCAGGAACUGGCGUCAUUCACUCUUUUCUGCACAUGCUAUGAGUAACAAUACUAAAAACCUUGUUUUGCCUUUUACUUUCCUGAAACUUCUCCAGUGCCCUCAGUUUCAUUCACUGAUAUAAAUCUGAAGUCUCUCCUUCUUUCCUGCUGAGUGGGAACCUCAUUAUUAAGACACCAGCAUAUGUCACUUCCAGUUUUGACUGGCCAGGGGUUCCAGACACGGAAUGUUGGGAAUAACUAGUAGCCACAUAAAUUCAAGGACAGAUCAACGCUAGUAUAUUUGGUUUCAGCAUGUUACUGCCUUUAGUUAUAAUUCUAAAAAAGUAAUUAAAACCCAUUAAAAUAUGUUGGGUCAGUGAAAAGAUUCCUUUUAUUGUAUUGUCCUGUUAUACUUAAUGUUUUAAAAAAUACUCUAACAAUAAAUUUGGUUUAGUAUUUUGGUUAUAUUUAAUCUGUGGAACAUUGUGUUAAAAUCCAGAUAUAUGCUUAUUGCCUAACAUUUUGUUCCUUACGUAUGCAGUGCUAUAUUCUACAUGUGGGAAUUUUCAGAAUUGUACAUAGCAUAAGUCUCCCUGCUUCCAUUUUUUGAGCCUGAGUGUAAUGAUUUUUUUAAAAAGGUUAUAUUUAACCAUAAUUACUUUUUAUGUUAAAUUUAGUUACAAAUAUUCUGGCAACAGAAUGCUAGUAAUCUUUAUUUUGAUUAUUUUGAUCCAAUUCAAUUAUUUUGAUAUCAUUCAUUUUGAUAUCAUUCAACAUUUCUGACUAUCCAGUUUUAAAAAUUGGAGCUAUGAUUUUUCUUUAUCAUUCUUUAAAGGAGCCAUUUUAUUAGUCUUCCAGCAUGUAAUCUGGAGUUUUUUGUAAUAACCUCACUUCUAAUUGGCUUUAUUAAAGUUUAAUACUGAUUUUUAUAAAAAUAUGUUAUAAAUACCUCCCUGACAAGGUUCUUUAUCAUAAAGACAGUACUUACUUGGAGUUCAUCAGGUAGCUCCCAUGGGUCCAGGUGCCAUUACUUAUUCUUGGGUGCAUCAUUUUCUUGCAUUUUGUAAAUUUAAGACAGUUAGUAGACUGACUCUUGGAGAAGCUUCAGAACCUUAAGUAUAUGUACCCUUAUAUACCCUAAGAGGCUUCUAUUAGAAGAAUAUACUAUUUUUUGUUUGUUUUCAAAUUCCAGUAAAGCAUACCACAUUUAAGAACUUAAAAAUUUCCUGUCGUCUACUCAAUUGAUAUUCAUGUUAAUAUUAAAUAUCUUAAGUUGUAUUGGGAGUAAUUUGAGGUGCAGUUAUUUUUAUCACUACUUUCUUCAGGAAACUAAGCAAUAAAUAUACAUUUUUAAUGAAGAAUAUAUCAGUUGUGAGUAGGCUUGUUUCAAAACUAUUCUAGCCAUUGAGUUGUGUUUUC
rnacentral:lncRNA from 1 species